rnacentral:rRNA from 1 species
AGUCACUGACAUUAGAUACCCGGGUAGUCCUAGGCGUAAAUGAUGCGAGUUAAGUNUGGGGCAUCUACGAGAUGGCCCUGUGCUGUAGGGUAGCCGUUAAACUCGCUGCCUGGGAGUACGGUCGCAAGGCUGAAACUUAAAGGAAUUGCGGGGAGCACCACAAGAGGUGGAGGCUGCGGUUCAAUUGGACUCAACGCCGGAAACUCAUCGGGAGCGACAGCAGUAUGAUUGCCAGGUUGAUGACCUUGCUUGACAAGCUG